GGGCGGUUAGCUCAGUUGGUUAGAGCAUCUGCUUUACACGCAGGGGGUCCAGGGUUCAAAUCCUUGACCGCCCACCA
rnacentral:tRNA from 1 species